rnacentral:rRNA from 1 species
GAUGAACGCCAGCGGCAGGCUUAACACAUGCAAGUCGAGGGGUAUGCCGAUUUAUCGGCAGAGACCGGCGCACGGGUGCGUAACGCGUAUGCAAUCUACCUUUUACAGAGGGAUAGCCCAGAGAAAUUUGGAUUAAUACCUCAUAGUAUAGUGACUCGGCAUCGAGAUACUACUAAAGUCACAACGGUAAAAGAUGAGCAUGCGUCCCAUUAGCUAGUUGGUAAGGUAACGGCUUACCAAGGCUACGAUGGGUAGGGGUCCCGAGAGGGAGAUCCCCCACACUGGUACUGAGACACGGACCAGACUCCUACGGGAGGCAGCAGUGAGGAAUAUUGGACAAUGGGCGCAAGCCUGAUCCAGCCAUGCCGCGUGCAGGAUGACGGUCCUAUGGAUUGUAAACUGCUUUUGUACGAGAAGAAACACCUCUACGUGUAGAGACUUGACGGUAUCGUAAGAAUAAGGAUCGGCUAACUCCGUGCCAGCAGCCGCCGCAGUAA